rnacentral:rRNA from 1 species
AACGCGAAGAACCUUACCUACCCUUGACAUGCCAGGAAGCCCGGUGAGAGUUGGGUGUGCCCGAAAGGGAGCCUGGACACAGGUGCUGCAUGGCUGUCGUCAGCUCGUGUCGUGAGAUGUUGGGUUAAGUCCCGCAACGAGCGCAACCCUUGUCACUAGUUGCUACGGUAACGGGCACUCUAGUGAGACUGCCGGUGACAAACCGGAAGAAGGUGGGGAUGACGUCAAGUCCUCAUGGCCCUUAUGGGUAGGGCUUCACACGUCAUACAAUGGCGCAUACAAAGGGCUGCCAACCCGCGAGGGGGAGCCAAUCCCAGAAAGUGCGUCGUAGUCCGGAUUGCAGUCUGCAACUCGACUGCAUGGAGUCGGAAUCGCUAGUAAUCGCGGAUCAGCAAUGUCGCGGUGAAUACGUUCCCGGGUCUUGUACACACCG